rnacentral:rRNA from 1 species
AAAGGAAUAGACGGGGACCCGCACAAGCAGAGGAUGAUGUGGUUUAAUAUGAAGCUACGCGUAGAACCUUACCGAGGUUUGACAUCCCAGGAAGUCAGUCGAAAGACAGAUGUGCCUUCGGGAACCUGGUGACAGGUGCUGCAUGGCCGUCGUCAGCUCGUGUCGUGAGAUGUUGGGUUAAGUCCCGCAACGAGCGCAACCCUUAUCGUAUGUUGAAUUUUUCAUACGAAACUGCCCGGGCCAACCGGGAGGAAGGUGGGGACGACGUCAGGUCGGCAUGGCCCUUACACCUCGGGCCACUCACGUCAUACAAUGGCCGGUACAAUGCGUCUUGCCAACCCGCGAGGGGGAGCUAAUCGCAUCAAAACCGGUCUCAGUUCGGAUAGCAGGCUGCAACUCGCCUGCUUGAAGUCGGAUUUGCUAGUAAACGUGGGUCAGCAUACCACGUUGAAUACGUUCCCGGGUCUUGUACACACCGCCCGU